rfam:Triticum aestivum genome assembly, contig: Triticum_aestivum_CS42_TGACv1_scaffold_221447_3B
AUAAUACUCCCUCCAUCCGGAAUUACUUGUCAUCAAAAUGGAUGUGUCUAGAACUAAAAUACAUCUAGAUACAUCCAUUUCAAUGACAAGUAUUUUUGGACGGAGGGAGUAGUAG